AUGUUGAGGAGUAAAAGGGUUGUUUUGUUGGGAUUCUAUGAGUAGGACUCAAUGGGAGUCUUUGAUUUGUAUGUUGAUGGCUGGUGUGGAGGAUAAGAUGAAUGUUUAUAAAGUGAAUCUGAAUCAGAUUAGUAAGAGGAUUAAGUUUUUAGGUGUUAGGUUUAGUGAUUUCAAUUUUACGGUUGAGUAUUCUUCGAUCGGUUUACUUGGUGCAACAGGGUUAGGUUCUUCGACAUUCGCCGAAAAGGUUAAAUCGACACUUUUAUUGGAUAAGUUAGAUGAUAUAAGUAGUCAAUGGAUUAAUUCAGAUAUUCUUAUAUUCAAUACUGGUCACUGGUAG